UACGUAGGGUGCAAGCGUUAAUCGGAAUACUGGGCGUAAAGCGUGCGCAGGCGGUUAUGCAAGACAGAUGUGAAAUCCCCGGGCUCAACCUGGGAACUGCAUUUGUGACUGCAUAGCUGGAGUGCGGCAGAGGGGGGAUGGAAUUCCGCGUGUAGCAGUGAAAUGCGUAGAUAUGCGGGAGGAACACCGAUGGCGAAGGCAAUCCCCUGGGCCUGCACUGACGCUCAUGCACGAAAGCGUAGGGGAG
rnacentral:rRNA from 1 species